rnacentral:tRNA from 1 species
GGGAGUGUAGCUCAGUGGUAGAGAAUGUGCCUCCUAUGUGCAAGGCCCUGGGUUCAAUUCCCAGUACUACAA